AGCGAGGUGGAGCAGCCUGGAGUGCUCGUUGGGCUCAUAACCCAAAGGUCGAUGGUUCAAAUCCAUCCCUCGCUA
rnacentral:tRNA from 1 species